CUAGAGUUUGAUCAUGGCUCAGGACGAACGCUGGCGGCGUGCCUAAUACAUGCAAGUCGAGCGGACUGAUUCGGGGCUUGCUCCGAAGAGGUCAGCGGCGGACGGGUGAGUAACACGUGGGUAACCUGCCUGAUCGUCUGGGAUAACGCUUGGAAACGAGUGCUAAUACCGGAUAAUCUCUUGGAUCGCAUGGUUCGAGAGUAAAAGGAGCUUUUGCUCCGCGAUCAGAUGGACCCGCGGCGCAUUAGCUAGUUGGUGAGGUAACGGCUCACCAAGGCGACGAUGCGUAGCGCC
rnacentral:rRNA from 1 species